rnacentral:tRNA from 1 species
UCCCAGGUGGCUCAGAUGGUAAAAGUGUCUGCCAGCAAUGCAGGAGACCCGGGUUCGAUUCCUGGGUUGGUAA